rnacentral:rRNA from 1 species
CCUGGCUCAGGAUGAACGCGUAGCUACAGGCUUAACACAUGCAAGUCGAGGGGCAUCAGGGAGGAAGCUUGCUUUCUUUGCUGGCGACCGGCGCACGGGUGAGUGACGCGUAUCCAACCUUCCCCCCAGUAGGGCAUAGCCCGGCGAAAGUCGGAUUAAUACCCUAUGUUCUUCGUAGAGGACAUCUGAAAUGAAGCAAAGAUUUAUCGCUGGGGGAUGGGGAUGCGUCCGAUUAGGUUGUUGGCGGGGUAACGGCCCACCAAGCCCGCGAUCGGUAGGGGUUCUGAGAGGAAGGUCCCCCACACUGGUACUGAGACACGGACCAGACUCCUACGGGAGGCAGCAGUUAGGAAUAUUGGUCAAUGGGCGAGAGCCUGAACCAGCCAAGUAGCGUGCAGGACGACGGCCCUAUGGGUUGUAAACUGCUUUUAUGCGGGGAUAAAGUGACGUACGUGUACGUUUUUGUAGGUACCGCAUGAAUAAGGACCGGCUAAUUCCGUGCCAGCAGCCGCGGUAAUACGGAAGGUCCGGGCGUUAUCCGGAUUUAUUGGGUUUAAAGGGAGCGCAGGCGGGGAGCUAAGCGUGACGUGAAAUGUAGCCGCUCAACGGCUGAACUGCGUCGCGAACUGGCUUUCUUGAGUGAGUACGACGUCAGCGGAAUUCGUGGUGUAGCGGUGAAAUGCUUAGAUAUCACGAAGAACCCCGAUUGCGAAGGCAGCUGACGAGUCCUUUACUGACGCUAAAGCUCGAAGGUGCGGGUAUCGAACAGGAUUAGAUACCCUGGUAGUCCGCACGGUAAACGAUGGAUGCCCGCUGUCGGCGAUAUAUUGUCGGCGGCCAAGCGAAAGCGUUAAGCAUCCCACCUGGGGAGUACGCCGGCAACGGUGAAACUCAAAGGAAUUGACGGGGGCCCGCACAAGCGGAGGAACAUGUGGUUUAAUUCGAUGAUACGCGAGGAACCUUACCCGGGCUUGAACUGCAGGAGAAGGAUACAGAGAUGUUGACGCUUCGGGGCUCCUGUGGAGGUGCUGCAUGGUUGUCGUCAGCUCGUGCCGUGAGGUGUCGGCUUAAGUGCCAUAACGAGCGCAACCCCUGCCUAUAGUUGCCAUCAGGUCAUGCUGGGCACUCUGUGGGGACUGCCACCGCAAGGUGUGAGGAAGGUGGGGAUGACGUCAAAUCAGCACGGGCCCUUACGUCCGGGGCUACACACGUGUUACAAUGGGUGGUACAGAGAGUCGGCCGCAUGCAAAUUCGGUCUAAUCAUGAAAGCCAUCCUCAGUUCGGAUUGGGUCUGCAACCGGACCCCAUGAAGCUGGAUUCGCUAGUAAUCGCGCAUCAGCCA